GACGAACGCUGGCGGCGUGCCUAAUACAUGCAAGUCGAGCGAACAGAUGAGGAGCUUGCUCCUCUGACGUUAGCGGCGGACGGGUGAGUAACACGUGGAUAACCUACUUAUAAGACUGGGAUAACUUCGGGAAACCGGAGCUCAUACCGGAUAAUAUAUUGAUCCGCAUGGUUCAAUAGUGAUAGACGGUAUUGCUGACUCUUAUAGAUGGAUCAGCGCCGUAUUACCUAGUUGCUAGGGUAACGGCUUACGAAGGCAACGAUCCUUGGCCGACAGGAGAGGUGAUCCGGCCACAUGGGACCUGGGACACGGCCCAGACUCCUCCGGGGGGCGGCGUAAGGGAUCCUCCGGCAUUGGGCGAAGUCCUGACGGAGCAACGCCGCGUGGGUGAUGAAGUUCUUCGAAUCGUAAGACUCUGUUAUUAGGGAAGAAGGAAUUUGUAAUUAACUGUGCACGUCGUGACGGUACCUAAUCAGAAAGCCACGGCUAACUACGUG
rnacentral:rRNA from 1 species